GAUCGGACGGUGUGGUGACCUUUUGGGCCACCCCCCACCGGGAGGGCUUAGCUUUUCUGACCGGCGUAAUCCAUGCCAUGUAUUCUUGAGCGUGUGGCUUGCUUUGAGCACUCUAAUUUUAUCAAAAGUAAACAGUCGGCCGACUCCGCUGGCCGACCAGUCAAGGCCAGACGCGCGUCCCCGGCCGAAAAAGAAAGGGGCCACGCAGUGCACACCAAAAGAGGCGGACCGCGAACCCCUCCCAAGAUCCAACUACGAGCGUAAACUGCAACAACUUAAAUAUACGCUAAUUGGAAGCCUUGGAAUUAACCCGCAGGACUUGCUUGGGCCACCCAAGAACAUUGACCCCUUCCAAAAUUGGGAUUCCCUUCGGUUACACGGGCAAAGACGGACUUCUGCGAAAGCAUUUGCCAAGGAUGUUUUCAUUAAUCAAGGAACGAAAGUUGGGGGCUCGAAGACGAUCAGAUACCGUCCUAGUCUCAACCAUAAACGAUGCCGACUAGGGAUCGGCGGAUGUUAAUUUGAUGACUCCGCCGGCACCUCCAUGAGAAAUCAAAGUUUUUGGGUUCCCGGGGGGAGUAUGGUCGCAAGGCUGAACACUUAAAGGAAUUGACGGAAGGGCACCACCAGGAGUGGUCGCCUGCGGCUUAAUUUGACUCAACACGGGGAAACUUACCAGGUCCAGAAUAGUAAGGAUUGACAGAUUGAGAGCUCUUUCUUGAUUCUAUGGGUGGUGGUGCCUGGCCGUUCGUGCUGGCGACACCUAGCCAGCGCAAUCGGCCAGCAGCAAUCCGGAAACUCUUUCACCGGGGAACACAAAAACAUCGGUAGUGAGCGACGGGCGAGUGUGUACCAAGAGUGGCCAU
rnacentral:rRNA from 1 species